GACGAACGCUGGCGGCGUGCUUAACACAUGCAAGUCGGACGCUGAAGCUCAGCUUUUGUUGGGUGGAUGAGUGGCGAACGGGUGAGUAACACGUGAGUAACCUGCCCCCUUCUUUGGGAUAACGCCCGGAAACGGGUGCUAAUACUGGAUAUUCACUGGUCUUCGCAUGGGGGUUGGUGGAAAGGGUUUUUCUGGUGGGGGAUGGGCUCGCGGCCUAUCAGCUUGUUGGUGGGGUGAUGGCCUACCAAGGCUUUGACGGGUAGCCGGCCUGAGAGGGUGACCGGUCAGAUUGGGACUGAGAUACGGCCCAGACUCGUACGGGAGGCAGCAGUGGGGAAUAUUGCACAAUGGGCGCAAGCCUGAUGCAGCGACGCCGCGUGAGGGAUGGAGGCCUUCGGGUUGUGAACCUCUUUCGCUCAUGGUCAAGCCGCAACAAUGGUUGUGGUGAGGGUAGUGGGUAAAGAAGCGCCGGCUAACUACGUG
rnacentral:rRNA from 1 species